AACGAACGCUGGCGGCAGGCUUAACACAUGCAAGUCGAGCGCCCCGCAAGGGGAGCGGCAGACGGGUGAGUAACGCGUGGGAACGUACCUUUUGGUUCGGAACAACUCCGGGAAACUGGAGCUAAUACCGGAUAAGCCCUAACGGGGAAAGAUUUAUCGCCGAAAGAUCGGCCCGCGUCUGAUUAGCUAGUUGGGGAGGUGACGGCUCACCAAGGCGACGAUCAGUAGCUGGGCUGGGAGGAUGAUCAGCCACACUGGGACUGAGACACGGCCCAGACUCCGACGGGAGGCAGCAGUGGGGAAUAUAGGACAAUGGGCGCAAGCCUGAUCCAGCCAUGCCGCGUGAGUGAUGAAGGCCUUAGGGUUGUAAAGCUCUUUUGUCCGGGAAGAUAAUGACUGUACCGGAAGAAUAAGCCCCGGCUAACUUCGUG
rnacentral:rRNA from 1 species